rnacentral:rRNA from 1 species
GAUGAACGCUGGCGGCGUGCCUAAUACAUGCAAGUCGAGCGAACAGACGAGGAGCUUGCUCCUCUGACGUUAGCGGCGGACGGGUGAGUAACACGUGGAUAACCUACCUAUAAGACUGGGAUAACUUCGGGAAACCGGAGCUAAUACCGGAUAAUAUAUUGAACCGCAUGGUUCUAUAGUGAAAGACGGUUUUGCUGUCACUUAUAGAUGGAUCCGCGCCGCAUUAGCUAGUUGGUAAGGUAACGGCUUACCAAGGCGACGAUGCGUAGCCGACCUGAGAGGGUGAUCGGCCACACUGGAACUGAGACACGGUCCAGACUCCUACGGGAGGCAGCAGUAGGGAAUCUUCCGCAAUGGGCGAAAGCCUGACGGAGCAACGCCGCGUGAGUGAUGAAGGUCUUCGGAUCGUAAAACUCUGUUAUUAGGGAAGAACAAAUGUGUAAGUAACUAUGCACGUCUUGACGGUACCUAAUCAGAAAGCCACGGCUAACUACGUG